rnacentral:rRNA from 1 species
CAAGCUUGCUUGGUGGAUCAGUGGCGAACGGGUGAGUAACACGUGAGCAACCUGACCUGGACUCUGGGAUAAGCGCUGGAAACGGCGUCUAAUACUGGAUAUGAGCUCUCAUCGCAUGGUGGGGGUUGGAAAGAUUUUUCGGUCUGGGAUGGGCUCGCGGCCUAUCAGCUUGUUGGUGAGGUAAUGGCUCACCAAGGCGUCGACGGGUAGCCGGCCUGAGAGGGUGACCGGCCACACUGGGACUGAGACACGGCCCAGACUCCUACGGGAGGCAGCAGUGGGGAAUAUUGCACAAUGGGCGGAAGCCUGAUGCAGCAACGCCGCGUGAGGGAUGACGGCCUUCGGGUUGUAAACCUCUUUUAGCAGGGAAGAAGCGAGAGUGACGGUACCUGCAGAAAAAGCGCCGGCUAACUACGUGCCAGCAGCCGCGGUAAUACGUAGGGCGCAAGCGUUAUCCGGAAUUAUUGGGCGUAAAGAGCUCGUAGGCGGUUUGUCGCGUCUGCUGUGAAAUCCCGAGGCUCAACCUCGGGCCUGCAGUGGGUACGGGCAGACUAGAGUGCGGUAGGGGAGAUUGGAAUUCCUGGUGUAGCGGUGGAAUGCGCAGAUAUCAGGAGGAACACCGAUGGCGAAGGCAGAUCUCUGGGCCGUAACUGACGCUGAGGAGCGAAAGGGUGGGGAGCAAACAGGCUUAGAUACCCUGGUAGUCCACCCCGUAAACGUUGGGAACUAGUUGUGGGGACCAUUCCACGGUUUCCGUGACGCAGCUAACGCAUUAAGUUCCCCGCCUGGGGAGUACGGCCGCAAGGCUAAAACUCAAAGGAAUUGACGGGGACCCGCACAAGCGGCGGAGCAUGCGGAUUAAUUCGAUGCAACGCGAAGAACCUUACCAAGGCUUGACAUACACCAGAACACCGUAGAAAUACGGGACUCUUUGGACACUGGUGAACAGGUGGUGCAUGGUUGUCGUCAGCUCGUGUCGUGAGAUGUUGGGUUAAGUCCCGCAACGAGCGCAACCCUCGUUCUAUGUUGCCAGCACGUAAUGGUGGGAACUCAUGGGAUACUGCCGGGGUCAACUCGGAGGAAGGUGGGGAUGACGUCAAAUCAUCAUGCCCCUUAUGUCUUGGGCUUCACGCAUGCUACAAUGGCCGGUACAAAGGGCUGCAAUACCGUGAGGUGGAGCGAAUCCCAAAAAGCCGGUCCCAGUUCGGAUUGAGGUCUGCAACUCGACCUCAUGAAGUCGGAGUCGCUAGUAAUCGCAGAUCAGCAACGCUGCGGUGAAUACGUUCCCGGGUCUUGUACACACCGCCCGUCAAGUCAUGAAAGUCGGUAACACCUGAAGCCGGUGGCCCAACC